rnacentral:lncRNA from 1 species
UGUGAGUGACUCAGUAACCACAGCAAUAAUCUCUACUGGCUCAGUGUAAUCAUCGUCAUCGUGGUGCCAUGACUGAUCCCCAUUCAUGUUUUGCAACAGAAGCUUGUUACAAGUAAUAUUCACAGAUCCAUUUAUCUCCAUCGUUUUUGUUAUAUUCCUCUUGUUUGUCCAGUAAGAGACAGAUAGGCAGGUGACAGUCACAUUUCCCUUCACUGGCUUUCCAUAUGUAUACUUUGCAGUGACAACACCAGUUACUUCUUUCUCUCUCAAGGAGUAGUAUAAUGGUGCUGUUAUCGUAACAUCAAAUUUUGGUAAAACAUAUUCCAUCACUUUAAAACUUUGAUAAUGUACUUGACCAUUCACUUCCACGUCUAAGGACCAGUCUCCUAGUGGAGGGUUCUUUGAUAACUGAAAUUUUUUUGAAACUACACCUAAAUCACCCUCCUCCAGCAACCACUGCUGAAUCAACUUCUUCCGUGG